rnacentral:lncRNA from 1 species
AGAAUGGCUGAGAUCUGUUCGUGAACGGGAGGAAUCUGGAACAAGAAGAAGGCUGGAUUCGGCUGGGAGUUUGUGUUUAUCCCGUGGAUCAUGCAGAUCUAUGCCAAAACAGGGAGCUUGGAUGCAUUCUAUUCCGCUAGGAGAAUAUUGCGGAAGGAUGGAGUUGAUCCGGAAGCUUUGGAGAUGAAGACACGGGAGGAAUGAGCUGGUAAUGGCUGGGAGAAGAUGAGGAUGCUGGGAUGCGAUCCACAGAAUGGGGAGAGGAUGAACGCUGGGGAGAGGAUUCUGUUUCCGUGGCUGGGAUCAAUCUGAACGCUGGGACUUGGCUGGCUUGGUUCUGUUCAUGGGAGACCUGAGAGGAUAGGCGUGGGAAGGAUGAGGAUGAACGCGGAGACGUGAGAGCUAGGGAGGGAUUUGCGGACGGAGUUGGACCCUAGUCGCGGGAGAGGAUGGAAUGCGAGCUUAUAUGAUGAUGCGGACGGCUGGGAAUGGGCUCUGUUUUGAGGCUGGGGUGGAUUAUGUGGAAGCUUGAUCUCUAAACACUUAAAGGAUGAUGUCGACAUGGGUACUGCUGCAAAUGCGAAAGAAACUCGCGUUGAGCUGAAUCGUGGAAGAAAAAUGAUACAUGAUCUACACGUUGGACAGCAAAGAUGGAUGCUUGAUCCUUAGAUGCAGAAGGUGCGUGUGGUUUGGGUUCAAGAAUUAUCCCAACUGAGUUCGGCCCGACCUGCAUACAUUAGACUCGACCAAAAUAAUUAAAUCAAACUCGAAUUACUUCUAAUAAUUUAUUAAAAUACAAUGAUGAAGGAAAACACAUUUUCUUAUGUUUAGAUUAAAAUAUGUGCAUAAAAAUAAUAACAAGUGCUAUGUAAAAUAGAUAAAUUUAUUUAUUAUUUAGCACUUAUCACACCCUCCAACCUACAUUUUGCUAGUUCUCGAGCAAAAUAAAAACUAACUCACUUUCGCAGGAAUCGCGAUUGCAUUUACCGUAUGCAAUAAGGCUUUAAACUCCUAAGUGGCUCUAGUGGACGAGUUUGGUCUCGUGAGGGUUUCCGGUAUAGAUACCCACAAACUGCUGUCUUUACCCAAAGAAUUUAUUUUAUUGUUUCAUAAAAUCUAAUUUCAAAUGUAUAAAUGCCAAGAAUUUUAAAAGUACAUAAAGUUUUAAUUACUAAGUCAGCU